AAUCAACGCUGGCGGCGUGCCUCAGACAUGCAAGUCGAACGAUUAAAGCUCUCUUCGGAGAGUGUAUAGAGUGGCGCACGGGUGAGUAACACGUAAGUAAUCUACCUUUGAGUGGGGAAUAACCCGGGGGAAACCCGAGCUAAUACCGCAUAAUGCAGCGGGCACCGCAAGGUGACAGUUGUUAAAAGGAGCAAUCCGCUUAAAGAGGAGCUUGCGGCAGAUUAGCUAGNGGUAAGGUAAUGGCUUACCAAGGCUUCGAUCUGUAUCCGGCCUGAGAGGGGCGGUCGGACACACUGACACUGAAUAAC
rnacentral:rRNA from 1 species